GACGGGUGAGUAACACGUGGGUAACCUGCCCUUAAGUGGGGGAUAACAUUUGGAAACAGAUGCUAAUACCGCAUAAAUCCAAGAACCGCAUGGUUCUUGGCUGAAAGAUGGCGUAACUAUCGCUUUUGGAUGGACCCGCGGCGUAUUAGCUAGUUGGUGAGGUAACGGCUCACCAAGGCAAUGAUACGUAGCCGAACUGAGAGGUUGAUCGGCCACAUUGGGACUGUGACACGGCCCAAACUCCUACGGGAGGCAGCAGUAGGGAAUCUUCCACAAUGGACGCAAGUCUGAUGGAGCAACGCCGCGUGAGUGAAGAAGGCUUUCGGGUCGUAAAACUCUGUUGUUGGAGAAGAAUGGUCGGCAGAGUAACUGUUGUCGGCGUGACGGUAUCCAACCAGAAAGCCACGGCUAACUACGUGCCAGCAGCCGCGGUAAUACGAU
rnacentral:rRNA from 1 species